UGGGGAAUUUUGGACAAUGGGCGAAAGCCUGAUCCAGCAAUGCCGCGUGAGUGAAGAAGGCCUUCGGGUUGUAAAGCUCUUUUGUCAGGGAAGAAACGGUGAGGGCUAAUAUCCCUUGCUAAUGACGGUACCUGAAGAAUAAGCACCGGCUAACUACGUGCCAGCAGCCGCGGUAAUACGUAGGGUGCAAGCGUUAAUCGGAAUUACUGGGCGUAAAGCGUGCGCAGGCGGUUUUGUAAGUCUGAUGUGAAAUCCCCGGGCUCAACCUGGGAAUUGCAUUGGAGACUGCAAGGCUAGAAUCUGGCAGAGGGGGGUAGAAUUCCACGUGUAGCAGUGAAAUGCGUAGAUAUGUGGAGGAACACCGAUGGCGAAGGCAGCCCCCUGGGUCAAGAUUGACGCUCAUGCACGAAAGCGUGGGGAGCAAACAGGAUUAGAUACCCUGGUAGUCCACGCCCUAAACGAUGUCUAUUAGUUGUCGGG
rnacentral:rRNA from 1 species